rnacentral:rRNA from 1 species
AUUGAACGCUGGCGGCAUGCCUUACACAUGCAAGUCGAACGGUAACAGGUCUUCGGAUGCUGACGAGUGGCGAACGGGUGAGUAAUACAUCGGAACGUGCCUAGUAGUGGGGGAUAACUACUCGAAAGAGUGGCUAAUACCGCAUGAGAUCUACGGAUGAAAGCAGGGGAUCGCAAGACCUUGUGCUACUAGAGCGGCCGAUGGCAGAUUAGGUAGUUGGUGGGAUAAAAGCCUACCAAGCCGACGAUCUGUAGCUGGUCUGAGAGGACGAUCAGCCAAACUGGGACUGAGACACGGCCCAGACUCCUACGGGAGGCAGCAGUGGGGAAUUUUGGACAAUGGGCGCAAGCCUGAUCCAGCAAUGCCGCGUGCAGGAUGAAGGCCUUCGGGUUGUAAACUGCUUUUGUACGGAACGAAAAGCCCUGGGUUAAUACCCUGGGGUCAUGACGGUACCGUAAGAAUAAGCACCGGCUAACUACGUGCCAGCCGCCGCAGUAAUAC